CCUAUUAUUAAGAAUAAAAAAUUGUAAGUAAAUAUUAAUUACGAAAGCAAAAAAUUAUGGCGGUAUUUUAAGCUUUUCAGAGGAAUUUGCUCUUUAAUGGAUAAAACACCUAAACCUUACUUAAAUUAGUACCUUUCAGUUUGUAUACCACUAUUAUAAUAAUAAUUUGUUAUUAUUAUUAAUAUUCUUAAAUUAGAAUAAAAUUAAGUCAAGGUGCAGCAUAAAUUUAUGAAUGAAGUGAAUUACAUUUCUUUAAAGAAAAAUGAAAUUGAAAUAAAACAUUUAGG
rnacentral:rRNA from 1 species